rnacentral:tRNA from 1 species
GUCUCUGUGGCGCAAUUGGCUAGCGCGUUCGGCUGUUAACCGAAAGGUUGGUGGUUCGACCCCACCCAGGGACG